AGCAUUAUUACUGUAAAAUGAGCAAAUGCUUACUGUAGAACUUGUAUACAGCAUGUUGCUGUAGAUCUGCAAAGCAUCAUGGUCUUUUUUCAACGGCGGGUAAAUUCUACAGUAAAAAUAUUUUUCCUGUGAAUCACAAUACAGCAAUUUCUAAAGGAUUUUUUUCUUCAGCCAAGGAAAGCUACGAGAUUCCACACUUUCAUCUGAAUUUUUACUUCAGAAAGGUAAAUUUGCUAAUUUAAUUCCAAAGUUUACUCUUGUAAAGUCUGUUUGUUCAACUUUAAGAGUGCACUGAGAGAGAAUGAGCAGCACACUUCACCGUCUUGUGUGUGCAUUUUGUAAUUUUAUUACCACAAAUAUAUAAUUCUGCAUGAUUUCGAUAUAUUUUCUAGUUUGGCAACAUUUUAUAACGUCAUUAGUUUAGAGAAGGAUAAUAAUUUAAUAAUAAUAGUAAUUGGCCGUGUCUCAAUGCUUGUUUCAGAAUAUUAACAAUUAUAAAGUUGACUGUUAUUCUUAGUUAAUAGUAAAUUGUUUAAUAUGCUUAUGACUUGCGAAUCUAAUGGUCAGUUAACUUAAAUAAACCAGGGUUGAUGACGUAUGCGAGUGCGACCUCCGCACGCAGGCUGAAACCAGUCUCUCGAGCUGAAAGAAAACGCAGCUGAGGAGAUAUGAGGAAACUUCCACCUACAGUAAGCAGAUGCUGAGGCCCAGAUUUCCAUGCUAAGCACUCCAAGGCUCAUCAUGCUCGGAGAGUCCAAUCUGAGGGCAAAAAAUGGAUGCUUUCCAUCGAGUGCUGAGUUCUCCUCCAAUUGAGUGACGGUUGUGAUUUCACUUCUGCUCUAGCCUUUUUGCGUCAUACUAUGUAUGAGGCAGCCACUACAUUGGGAUUUAUCCAGAGGGUAGAGUCCAGCCCAGGAAGUCAACUAGUUCAUGUCCAGAUUUAAAAGAAUAAUAUUUCUGAAAAAAAGGUCUUGGAGAAAAACAAUGGCUGUUUCUCAAUUCCAAGAACGCAAAGAACGGACUUGCGUCCUCGUGGAGAUCGGUCUUGCCAGGCGACCUUGGAAGAACGAACUCGGAAGUUUUGCCGCAAUGACUUCUGGGGCGUAAAGCGAUUUCAGAUUUCUUGAGAAUUGGAAUUGAACUUCGACCGUUAAUGAUGACGUAGAGCGAGGACACGAGGACGCAAGAUCGCUGAAGAACGCAUAUUGAGAAACAGCCCCUAUUCAGGUUUGAAAUCCUGCUGUAAAUGUAAAUCAUUUAACUUUUAUGCAUUUGUAAUUUACCAGAAACUUUUUAAUAAAUAUUGAUUGUUUUGUGUGUUCAGAAAAAGUGUUUUUGUAUGUUCAGAAAAGUGUUGAAAUUAAAUGAAACAUUCACAGAAAAAUGUUAACAUAUUUAAAAAAAUGUAUAUGUUCAGAAAAGUUUUGAGAUGUUCACAGAAAAAAUGUAACACAAAAAAUGUAUGCUAUGCUAUUUUUAAUUUAUGAAUUUUUGUAAUUUAAAGUGAUAAAAUAAAUGGCAUUUUUGUGACAAA